ensembl:lncRNA
GUAUCUUAUAAUAAAGAAGAAUUCCGAUUAGAUCAUUCAUUAUGAUAUCAGGAUAGUUGUAUUACCCACAUUUUUGACUGAACAGAAUUUGCCAAAACACUGCACUGUUCAGAUUUUGUUGCUUUAGAUUUACUGUAACACCAAUACUUUACAUGCACAGAACAAGAGUUGCAUUAGUCUGGAAAGGAGGAGUGAUGUGAUGAGGAUGAGGAGGGUGAUUUUGAUGGCUCUGCAGAGGCUGAUAUCAUCAGAGCUCUUUGCUGAGUGCUCAGCAUUACAUCAUUGGGCCCUUCGGCAGCUCGACUUACAGCAUAAGGAGCGCUUCAUAGGAGCCAGCUUCUGUAACACAGUCCGCUUUGAGCGCUCAUACAAGAUGCAUCACCAGUUGUGGAUGGCUGGUGGGGAUUCCUCUGCAUUUAACCUUGUUGGACGAAAUACAAGCAACACUUUAGAGAAGACUUUGAAAGAAAAGGAUUACAGUUACGGGCAGUUGCUGUUAAUGGUUGAGGGCAGGGGCAAGCCCAGAGGAACACUGAAUAACUGGGACACAAAAGGAGCUCUGUGUGUGAGGAGGUCACAUCUGCUGUGCUCCCUCACUCUCUCUCUCUCUUUCUCCCACACUGACAGAGCAGUGGCAGCACCAAUAACAACAGUGGAGGCCCUGCGUCUGGCCCCUGUCUCACAACGGCCCGCCUGUGCUGCUCUGGGGCACUGAUAGAGCAUGACAUUUCACUGGGCACCCAUUACUGACCCUGUCAGUCCUUCUGUUAUCACACGCUCGCAAACAGAAAUAUGACUUCAUAAAACGCCCCUGUAACGUGAGCCCACGGCCACUCAGGAUAAUGGCUGAGGUGUAAAAUUUGUGUUUUGGUAAUAACAUUUUAAAAAAUAAAAACAUGAAAGGACACA